GGCUUCGUGGCCGUGCGGUUAGUGUCGUCAGGCAAUGAGCGUAUCGUGUCAUGGGGUGUGGGUUCGAUUCCCACUGCAGCCA
rfam:Aedes aegypti strain Liverpool supercont1.427 genomic scaffold, whole genome shotgun sequence.